UUAACUUAUUUGUAUAUUACUCGGACAACAUAAAAAUCAAGAGUUUAGGGUCCUCCGGCAGGCACGGACCAGCCUAGGCCAGUGGUCAUAAGACGGGCCUGCCAAAGCAACAAAGGUAAUGUAGACAAAGGGUGGGAGAUCUACCCUGGAGGGCAAUUUCUCUGUAAUGAUCCUUCCGCAGGUUCACCUACGGAAA
rnacentral:misc_RNA from 1 species